GAAACUCUCAAGGUGGGAGCCUAAUCUGACGGACGGAACGACGGACGCACCUCCUCCGGCUCUUCCCUACGGGACACUGGGCAGAUCCAGCAGUUGAGGAAGGAGGAAGAGGAUAAGAACUAUUACUAUCCCCAAUUUAUAGUUGAGGAAAAUAAUAACAAUGAUAAUAAUUAAAACUUAUUAAACACCUACUACUAUGUGCCAGUCACUGCUAAAUCUUUUACGGAUCUCAUUUAGUCUUCACCACAGCCUUGCAAGGUCUCUUUUGCCAUUUUACCUGACCACCAUAUAGGCUACAAACUUUCCACCAGUAGCUUCUGGGGUUGUACCUAGAAGCUAGGCAGCUUUUUUAAGUCCUGUCUUUUAAGAAUGCAUCAUCAUCUGAGUGAAAUGAGCAGGACCAGGAGAUCAUUAUAUACUUCAACAACAAUAUUCUGAUGGAUGUGCCCCUCU